GAGUGACACUAAUAAGCAAAAAUAAAAGGGAAUAUUAUUAUUAAGAUGAAAUCUUCAAUGGUGUCUUCCAUGGUUCUCGUUCUCCUUCUUCUUCUUGUGUUUCCGCAUAUGGAUAAAGCCCUUGGCGCACAAGAGGGAGCCAAGAAACAAAGUGGAGAAGACACUUACCAUCCUAAUGGCUUUGUUGAUCCUCGCCGGUUGAUCCCCCAUAUACCUUGUUUUAAUUGUAGACGUAAACCCGAAAUAUUUACUCCUCCUAUACCCUACACGUCUUUCGAAGGCACACAAGGAGUACCUGGUCAUUGAUCUCACUCUAGCCCCGAAUGCGUGUGUGUGCACAUGUUUCUUACAUUGUGGUUUAUGUUCAGUGUUUAUCUAUCUCUAUGCAUGUGUUUGUCCUGUCUUUCAGUUUUAUCAAACCGCGCCGCUAUAAUAAAUAAAAUUUGUAUUCCCUUU